GCUGCUGGAAGUUGGUAGAAAGAAAUGGAAGGACGAAUUAGAAGAUACGGAGACCAAACUAGUCCAGAGCGAACUAAAAUCUGGGUAGAGCCACCACCAAAACACCACCACCACCGCCGCCGACAACACCACCACCAGCAGCAGCAGGGUAGAAAGAUCUCAGUGGUGUAUUAUCUUUGCCGGAACCGCCACCUCGACCCCCCGCACUUCAUCGAAGUCUCUGUCUCCUCUCCCGAAGGUCUCUACCUAAGAGAUGUGAUCAAUAGGCUUAAUGUGCUAAGAGGAAAGCAAAUGGCCGCGAUGUAUUCGUGGUCCUGCAAGAGGAGUUACAAGAGUGGAUUUCUGUGGCACGACCUCUCGGAGGAUGAUCUGGUACUCCCGGCGCAGGACAAUGAGUAUGUCCUCAAGGGCUCUGAGCUCGUGGAUCAACCCCCUCCCGAUCGGCUGCAUCGCGGCAUUGGCGACCCAAUGGUUCGGAACAAGACGCGCCUCUCCCAUAGAGCCCACGAAGCCUCCUCCUCUUCCUCUCCCCCCGCCGUUGUGUUCAAGGAGCCGAAGCUUUCCCAAUCCCCGCCGCCGACCCUGCAAGAAGGCGAGCUAUCCCCCGCCGGGAACUUCUCCCCGGUUCCCGUCGGCAGAACUACCCCUUCGUCCCGGAGCCUGGCCGAGUACCGGGUCGAGAAGGUAAUUGGAGCUCGGGAUGCUUCCACCCAGACUGAGGACAAUGGAGGAAGGAAGACCCGCACGGCCAGAGUCUCCACUGAUGAUGGGUUGUUGGGUACCGAGUGCAACGGCAGCCACCAUCAUAACAGGAGCCCGCGAUCCGUGGAGGGGUUGGAGAUCGUCGGAGAUGAGAGUUCGCCUCCGUGGAGUGCUUCUUCCUUGGGUGAUGGGAAGAUGGAUACGUUGGAGAAUUUGAUAAGAGCUGAGGCGGCUUUCAGGGCGAACAAUUUUAGGAUAACGGAGGAGUCCCCCAUGCGGGUGAAGCUCAAGGCCGCGGAUUUGCUGAUGCAGCUGAUCUCGUGCGGGUCGAUCUCUGCGAAAGGCUACGGCCAUGGCUUUGAGCUCGUGCCCGCCUACCGGCCGAGGUUCGCUCAUGCGAACUUCUCCUCACCGGUGGUGCUGGGAGAGCUCGGCUCGCGGCUGGAAAAUUCGAGGCCGACGGGGUUGUGCGAUUAUUUUGGCCGGAGCUUGAUCGAAGCUAAGAACCCCAAGGAGGAACUAGGAGCUUCUUCCUGUGAGGAUGACCGAGAUCUGGAAGAUGCAGGAGCUGCAAGAUGCCUAGUUUGGAGGGGGACAAAGAAAAUGUAGUGGAUUCAAAACAUUCAAAAUGCCUCCUACGAACAACCAAAAUUACAUCUUGCAAGCACUUCAGGAAUGAAACAAUGGCAUCACCUAUCUCAAAUGCAAGGCAUUCUUCAGCUGGGCCAGACUGCAGCAGAUCCUUUCCUCUCAACUCAUCAAGAGUUGGAAGUAGAAUGAUCACUGAUGCUUCCCUAGUGAAAGGAUCAUCUAUGAGUUUAAAAUCUUUCAAAGAUGAAAAGGAGAAGGUGAUCAUGAUCGAAGAAAGGCUUAAUUCUGGAGCUCGGGUUAUAAUUCAAUCCAGAUCUCCAUGUGAUGAUAGUAAGGAUAGCUCUGGUUUGCCAUAAGGAGCCAGUAUUUUUAUAUAUUGUGUCUCUUUUCAUUGUCUACUUCUCUCAUCACAGCUGACCAUGGAAUGAGGUUGCUUGUAAUUUCUGAAAUAGUUGUGAGUGCCACUUCAUUCAAUUUAUGGCUUAUUUUGGUAGUUUUGGGUCAUUUUCUUCCUCCAGCCUUGAAUAUUACCUCAUCAGUUACCUGCCCGCAAGGCAAUGCCAUUGUUUCAUUAGUCAUUAAUUGGUUCUAAGAUUCCUUCCAAGUAUGAAGGUCCUUUAUUUGGCAACAAAAUUCCAUUUCAGGUUUCUGGGUAAGCUGGAUUCUUUAUUGCUUUUAGUGGCCUGCACAAAUUGUAUGCUGAAAGUAUAACUAUAUGUAAAAAUCCUUGACAAAGAUCCAUUCAGUGCUUGUAAGGCCAGUAAUACCUUUAGGCCUUUGAUGGGAAGAAUAGAUUAAACCUUAAUGCUUCCUCAUGAGAUGGCAAAAUUUUCAUUUCCUAGGAACACCUUAUAAAACAUGUAAGGUUAACAAAUUGGUCCUACAACAUUUAAAAAUAA